rnacentral:rRNA from 1 species
UACGGGGGGGGCAAGCGUUGUUCGGAAUUACUGGGCGUAAAGGGUCUGUAGGCGGCCAACUAAGUCAGACGUGAAAUCCCUCAGCUUAACUGGGGAACUGCGUCUGAUACUGGUUGGCUUGAGUGCAGGAGAGGAAUGCGGAAUUCCAGGUGUAGCGGUGAAAUGCGUAGAUAUCUGGAGGAACACCGGUGGCGAAGGCGGCAUUCUGGACUGCAACUGACACUGAAAGACGAAAGCCAGGGGAGCAAACGGG